UACGUAGGGUGCAAGCGUUAAUCGGAAUUACUGGGCGUAAAGCGUGCGCAGGCGGUUAUGUAAGACAGGUGUGAAAUCCCCCGGGCUUAACCUAGGAACUGCAUUUGUGACUGCAUAGCUAGAGUACGGUAGAGGGGGAUGGAAUUCCGCGUGUAGCAGUGAAAUGCGUAGAUAUGCGGAGGAACACCGAUGGCGAAGGCAAUCC
rnacentral:rRNA from 1 species